rnacentral:rRNA from 1 species
GACGAACGCUGGCGGCGUGCCUAAUACAUGCAAGUUGAGCGCUGAAGGUUGGUACUUGUGCCGACUGGAUGAGCAGCGAACGGGUGAGUAACGCGUGGGGAAUCUGCCUUUGAGCGGGGGACAACGUUUGGAAACGAAUGCUAAUACCGCAUAAAAACUUUAAACACAAGUUUUAAGUUUGAAAGAUGCAAUUGCAUCACUCAAAGAUGAUCCCGCGUUGUAUUAGCUAGUUGGUGAGGUAAAGGCUCACCAAGGCGAUGAUACAUAGCCGACCUGAGAGGGUGAUCGGCCACAUUGGGACUGAGACACGGCCCAAACUCCUACGGGAGGCAGCAGUAGGGAAUCUUCGGCAAUGGACGAAAGUCUGACCGAGCAACGCCGCGUGAGUGAAGAAGGUUUUCGGAUCGUAAAACUCUGUUGGUAGAGAAGAACGUUGGUGAGAGUGGAAAGCUCAUCAAGUGACGGUAACUACCCAGAAAGGGACGGCUAACUACGUG